UAAUGCUGUUUGUCCAUUUGUCUCCUUCCCU
rnacentral:piRNA from 1 species